rnacentral:rRNA from 1 species
GCCACUGGAAACGGUGAUUAAUACCCCAUAUGCCUCUAAAACAUAAGUUUGCGAGGGAAAUGUUUUUUCGCUUAGAGAUCGGCCUAUAUCCUAUCAGCUUGUUGGUGNGUGUAAGAGACNCACCAAGGCUAUGACGGGUAGCGGGUUUGAGAGGAUGAUCCGCCACACUGGUACUGAGACACGGACCAGACUCCUACGGGAGGCAGCAGUGAGGAAUAUUGCACAAUGGAGGAAACUCUGAUGCAGCAACGCCGCGUGGAGGAUGACGCAUUUCGGUGUGUAAACUCCUUUUAUAUGUCAAGAAAAUGACGGUAGCAUAUGAAUAAGCGCCGGCUAACUCCGUGCCAGCAGCCGCGGUAAUACGGAGGGCGCAAGCGUUACUCGGAAUCACUGGGCGUAAAGGACGCGUAGGCGGGUUNAUCAAGUCAGGUGUGAAAUCCUACAGCUUAACUGUAGAACUGCACUUGAAACUGGUAACCUAGAGUAUGGGAGGGGCAGAUGGAAUUAGUGGUGUAGGGGUAAAAUCCGUAAAUAUCACUAGGAAUACCGAAAGCGAAGGCGAUCUGCUGGAACAUAACUGACGCUGAGGCGUGAAAGCGUGGGGAGCAAACAGGAUUAGAUACCCUGGUAGUCCACGCCCUAAACGAUGAACACUAGUCGUCGGGGUACUUGUUACUUCGGUGAUGCACUUAACAGAUUAAGUGUUCCGCCUGGGGAGUACGGUCGCAAGAUUAAAACUCAAAGGAAUAGACGG